rnacentral:rRNA from 2 species
AAUACAUGCAAGUCGUACGAGCUUCCGUUGAAUGACGUGCUUGCACUGAUUUUAACAAUGAAGCGAGUGGCGAACUGGUGAGUAACACGUGGGAAAUCUGCCCAGAAGCAGGGGAUAACACUUGGAAACAGGUGCUAAUACCGUAUAACAACAAAAUCCGCAUGGAUUUUGUUUGAAAGGUGGCUUCGGCUAUCACUUCUGGAUGAUCCCGCGGCGUAUUAGUUAGUUGGUGAGGUAAAGGCCCACCAAGACGAUGAUACGUAGCCGACCUGAGAGGGUAAUCGGCCACAUUGGGACUGAGACACGGCCCAAACUCCUACGGGAGGCAGCAGUAGGGAAUCUUCCACAAUGGACGAAAGUCUGAUGGAGCAAUGCCGCGUGAGUGAAGAAGGGUUUCGGCUCGUAAAACUCUGUUGUUAAAGAAGAACACCUUUGAGAGUAACUGUUCAAGGGUUGACGGUAUUUAACCAGAAAGCCACGGCUAACUACGUGCCAGCAGCCGCGGUAAUACGUAGGUGGCAAGCGUUGUCCGGAUUUAUUGGGCGUAAAGCGAGCGCAGGCGGUUUUUUAAGUCUGAUGUGAAAGCCUUCGGCUUAACCGGAGAAGUGCAUCG